rnacentral:rRNA from 1 species
UACGAAGGGGGCUAGCGUUGUUCGGAAUUACUGGGCGUAAAGCGAACGUAGGCGGUGUUCCAUGUCGGAGGUGAAAGCCUGGGGCUCAACUCCAGAAUUGCCUUUGAAACGGGAACGCUUGAGUCCGAGAGAGGGUGGCGGAAUUCCUAGUGUAGAGGUGAAAUUCGUAGAUAUUAGGAAGAACACCAGUGGCGAAGGCGGCCACCUGGCUCGGUACUGACGCUCAGGUUCGAAAGCGUGGGGAGCGAACAGG